AAAGAAAAGAAAAGAAAAUGGCUCUGUACUUAGAGAGGCCUGACUAUUUCUGAGGCCUUGUUUGCAGCUGAUCUUCACUGAAGUAGAUUUAUGGACUAAGGAAGGACUGCUUAUGACUGCUGAUUUCGGAAGCUUCCAUCCUACAUUCGGAUCUAUCUGCAGCACAUCUCCAAUGAAGCUGGUGCAUAUUGAGAUUCCAGAUGCCAAUGAGAAUGUGUAAUAUUUCUUCUUAAAGCCUUGCCUGAAAUGAAUUUGCACCUGCUUGUUGUAGAAAACAAAAGGAGUUUUGACAGCUAGCCAGCUACAAUGUCAUAGCAACUCAGUGCCCUUCCAUACAGCCAUACAACCCAGAAAAUCAAAGCAGAAAAUCCCACAAUAUCUGCAUUUGAACAGGGUUAACUGAGUCCAUACUGCCAUAUAUUUCAGUUCAAAGCAGAUAAUGUAAGCCGCCUUGAGUCUCCUCCAGGGUCGAAAAAAGUGGGGUAAAAAUGAAUGAAUGAAUGAAUGAAUGAAUAAAGUGGGAUUUUAUUAAGCUGUGUGGAAGGGGCCUCGGUAAGGCUGUGAGAGGUCAUUUGCAGCCAGUAUUGCUUACCAUGUUGGAACUGUGAGAAAAUGCCAAAAUGUUUUCUGCCGAAUCUAGAUAUGCAUCUUUAUUUUUAACAUUUCUAAUUCAAUGCAUCAAACAGUAAACUCGCAUAAAUAAAACAAUAGUGUAGCUGAGGGUGGUUGGAUGAGGGUGUUGCUCACCAAAUAAGAAUUCUGUGCCCUCAAAUUAAUUUUUGCGCAACUCUUUUGCACAGUAACUUGAGCCAGCAGCGGAACAUUUAGAAAUAAAGUUUGGGCAUCCAGAUAAAAGAGCAAACAAUAGCUCUAUGUGUAAAUAAUUUCCAGUAUCUCAUGCUUUGGAAUGCUAGAAAUUUAGGGAUUGAAAAAAACCUAGUGGUGCAUAAUUAUUUCUAAAGGCAAUUGUCUCGUUUUGCUGUCCCCAUCAUUACACACCAAAAUAAAAUAAUAGCACAACUAUUUUAAAUUAAAAUUAAUAAAACCAGUUCACACUUAACCAAGAGUGAAAACAACAACAACUGUAGCAAACAGACCUUGUGUAUCACAUGCCUGUUCUAGGUAAAACAAUAUUCGAACUAAGGCUCUCAAAAAUAGUAUUUUAUCACCAGAAGAGGGCAUUCGUGCACAAAAUUCCUAGGAUUUGAAGUACAGUACUUGCUUAAUUAUGCCAUUGUUCACAUCAGAGUAGAGUUCCAGAAAAUAAAUUCUGUACUAAACUCUCGUGAUCCAAAAUAAAAAAAGAUCUUUUAAAAUGCAAAAUGAAUGUACAUCCAAAGCUAGGUUCACGGUAAGAAAGGUAGAGGUUUGAUAAGUGAUUAGGUAAAAGAUAAAAGUUUUCCCCUGACAUUAAGUCUAGUCGUGUCCGACUCUGGGGGUUGGUGCUCAUCUCCAUUUCUAGGCCGAAGAGCUGGCGUUGUCUGUAGACACCUUCAAGGU
rnacentral:lncRNA from 1 species